rnacentral:lncRNA from 1 species
UGCUUUAAAUUUGUUUGUUCUGCAGGUAAAGCUGCAGUUUUUAGUGAAAGUGAGGUUUCAUUAUAAGCGGUGAAGAUAUGAUUCAGAUUUGUAAAUGUCUCUUUUGCAAAAGAUGGUUUCACUCUAUAUUAGCAAAAAACUGCACCUUCUUACUCAUCAUGUGAAGGCUUGACAUGGAGGUUAUCUUUUGUUGUGGAUAUGGUUUCACUCUAUAUUAGCAAAAAACUGCACCUUCUUACUCAUCAUGUGAAGGCUUGACAUGGAGGUUAUCUUUUGUUGUGUAUAGGGAGGGCUAGAUCUCAUUUUACGUUUUUAGGGGAGAUCGCUUCCUGCUCAUGUAAAUGCCUCAUUGUAAGUGAUGAAUCGUGUUUCUACAUUUU